rnacentral:misc_RNA from 1 species
AGCAGCCGCGGUAAUUCCAGCUCCAAUAGCGUAUAUUAAAGUUGUUGCAGUUAAAAAGCUCGUAGUUGAAUUUCGAGACCGGCUUACUGGUCGUGCUUUUGUGCGUACUGGUAUAAUCGGUUUCUCCUUUCUGACGAACUAUAAUGCCAUUAAUUUGGUGUUAUAGGGAAUCAGGACUGUUACUUUGAAAAAAUUAGAGUGUUUAAAGCAGGCUCACGCUUGAAUACAUUAGCAUGGAAUAACGGAAUAGGACGUUUGAUUCUAUUUUGUUGGUUUCUAGGAUCGACGUAAUGAUUAAUAGGGAUAGUUGGGGGCAUUAGUAUUCAAUUGUCAGAGGUGAAAUUCUUGGAUUUAUUGAAGACUAACUACUGCGAAAGCAUUUGCCAAGGAUGUUUUCAUUAAUCAAGAACGAAAGUUAAGGGGAUCGAAGACGAUCAGAUACCGUCGUAGUCUUAACCAUAAACUAUGCCGACUA